rnacentral:rRNA from 1 species
AUUGAACGCUAGCGGGAUGCUUUACACAUGCAAGUCGAACGGCAGCGCGGACUUCGGUCUGGCGGCGAGUGGCGAACGGGUGAGUAAUGUAUCGGAACGUGCCCAGUAGCGGGGGAUAACUACGCGAAAGCGUAGCUAAUACCGCAUACGCCCUACGGGGGAAAGCAGGGGAUCGUAAGACCUUGCACUAUUGGAGCGGCCGAUUUCGGAUUAGCUAGUUGGUGAGGUAACGGCUCACCAAGGCGACGAUCCGUAGCUGGUUUGAGAGGACGACCAGCCACACUGGGACUGAGGCACGGCCCAGACUCCUACGGGAGGCAGCAGUGGGGAAUUUUGGACAAUGGGGGCAACCCUGAUCCAGCCAUCCCGCGUGUGCGAUGAAGGCCUUCGGGUUGUAAAGCACUUUUGGCAGGAAAGAAACGUCGCGGGCUAAUACCCCGUGGAACUGACGGUACCUGCAGAAUAAGCACCGGCUAACUACGUG